ACUCCUACGGGAGGCAGCAGUGGGGAAUAUUGCACAAUGGGGGAAACCCUGAUGCAGCCAUGCCGCGUGUGUGAAGAAGGCCUUCGGGUUGUAAAGCACUUUCUAGUAGGGAGGAAGGUAGUGUAGUUAACACCUGCAUUAUUUGUACGUUACCUACAGAAGAAGCACCGGCUAACUCCGUGCCAGCAGCCGCGGUAAGUACGGAGGGUGCGAGCGUUAAUCGGAAUUACGUGGGCGUAAAGCGCAUGCAGGCGGCCUGUUAAGUCAGAUGUGAAAGCCCGGGGCUUAACCUCGGAAUUGCAUUUGAAACUGGCAGGCUAGAGUCUUGUAGAGGGGUUAGGAAUUUCGAGGUGUAGCGGUGAAAUGCGUAGAGAUCUGAAGGAAUACCAGUGGCGAAGG
rnacentral:rRNA from 1 species